rnacentral:rRNA from 1 species
GCCUGCCCAGUGACCCUGUUUACGGCCGCGGUAUCCUAACCGUGCGAAGGUAGCGUAAUCACUUGUUCUCUAAAUGUGGACUAGUAUGAACGGCAUCACGAGGGUUAUACUGUCUCCUUUUUCUAAUCAGUGAAACUAAUCCCCCCGUGAAGAGGCGGGGAUAGAACUAUAAGACGAGAAGACCCUAUGGAGCUUUAAACAACAUAGCACUUGCCUUAACACGGAAUUUCCGAAUCUUACUCUAAAGCAAUAUUGACUAUAAGUUUUUGGUUGGGGUGACCACGGAGCAAAAUUUAACCUCCAUGUUGAAAGAAUUCAAGCUAAGAAUAACUAUUCUAAGCAUCAACAUAUUGACAUCAAUUGACCCAAUACAUUUGAACAACGAACCAAGUUACCCUAGGGAUAACAGCGCA